GAUGAAGAACGUAGUGAAAUGCGAUAAGUAAUGCGAAUUGCAGAAUCCGUGAGUCAUCGAAUCUUUGAACGCACAUUGCGCCUCCUGGUAUUCCGGGAGGCAUGCCUGUUCGAGCGUCAUUAAAAUCACUCAAGCUUAGGUUUACCUAUUGCUUGGUCUUGGAGAUGGAAGCCAAUUUAUUGGAAUCCUCUUCGAAAUUCAAUGGCGAAGACCCUUGCUCUCCCAAGUGUAGUAAUAACUUAUGUCACUGAAGGAAGCGAGAAAUCUUCUGCCGUAACCCCCAUAUUUUCUAUGAUUGACCUCGGAUCAGGUAGGGAUACCCGCUGAACUUAAGCAUAUCAAUAAGCGGAGGA
rnacentral:misc_RNA from 1 species